AUGGUCCGGCACGCCAAGUCGCGCGACGAUGGACGCCAGGAGGUCCACAGGGAGGGCCGCCCGCCCCCAGCAUCCCCUCGCACCACCUCAGAAGACAUUAUCGAGAUCCACCCAACGUCUCUGCCUCCUGGGUGGCCUCGCCUGGCCGCGCCUUGCUUUGGUGCCAAGGACUUCCACUCUGCAUCCUUGACGAGGUCGCCUCGACCAGCUCCUCCGCCUGCAUCAUGUUGUCAGUUCCACGAAGAUCAGGAUGAGCCUGCAACCCUUGUGAUUUCUCCAACUAGAGAUAUCAUCGUGAUGCCAACUCUUCGCCCAGCUGCCCGACGUCUACCCCGAUCUUUGUGCCGCGGACGCCCACCUCCUCCCCACAGAGGACGCCUAUUGCCAGGAGAAAGGCGUCUUGCUUUAGGUCCCAGGUGCCGCCCUCUGCCAUCAUCAACUACGAGCCGGCCACAGCCUCUCCUGACCCCUGCCGAGCUCAAGACGCAGCGACACUAG
rnacentral:rRNA from 1 species